AUGGGGGGCUCGAACCAACGAACAGGGAGAUCAUGACCUGAGCCAAAAGCAAGAGUGGGACGCUUAACCGACUGAGCCACCUAGGCACCACCAUCAGGAAAUGAUGUUUUAAGGUUUGGGAACCACUAGCCUCUUCAAGCUUUUCAAAUCCCAACAUCUCUGAGCUCUUUCUUUGAAGAAUCUUUUGUGUUUCUCCAUUGGAGAACCCGGCCAAGACUUUGUGAGCUGAUUUAUUUUUCUUGAAAUAAUUCACCCAAUGAAGUCAAUAGCAACAAACUCAUGACGCAUAUUUUGCUUCCCAAUUCCUUCCCUUAAUGGUACAUGUUCAUUAAGUACAUAGUCUAUCUCCAAGUUAUUGCAAAUGACAUGAAUAAUAAUGGUUUUGCCACUGCAUGACAUGCAUUUUUACCUUUUUUUUCCCCUCAACAGUUAUCCUAUCACAUAUCCCCUAACCAAAUACUUAACAUUUUUCCUUUUUUUGUUACUCCUUUUUUCUAAUACUAUGUUUUAAGUUUGUCAGAGUGUGUUGGAUUCUACUGCAACAAUAAAAAUUCAAAAUUUCA